ACAAAUUUUUAACACCUUUUUCCCUUUGUUCUUUCCGUCUCUCUUUCUAUUGUUCUCCCACUUCUUCAUCUCUUUGAGAAACCAGAAAUUAAAGGAAGGAUUUUGCGUUUUUUAAGAAAAAUCAAGUAAAGCCAUUUGUGAGAUUGUUAUUUGGAUUGGUAUCUUGAGUCAAGGUAAGGUUUUCUUCCACUUUUCUUUUCUUCACAAACCAAUUUCAGUUGUGGUUAAGUAUGAAAUAUGUUUGGUUUGAUGUUUCAAAAAUUUCUUUUGAUGACACGAAACUUGGAGCUCGGAUUCUCAAUGGUUUAUGUAGUUUUUCGUUUCAAGAGUUAGGAUUCAUUCUGGAGAAGCAAGCUACAAGAAGCUUGCGGCAACGAAGCUAAAGACGCAAAGUUGGUAUUUACUUUAUCGUCCUUAUAUAUAUGUAUAUAUCAUGGCAUAAUAACAAGUGGGUAUUGGAAGUGUUUUGGAAUGGUGAUCAGUUUGCUUCAAAGUAUUCAGUUCAUAUUUGUUAUGUA